AUCUAUCUUCAAUUAAAUUAUAAUAUUUUAGUACGAAAGGACCAAAUAUUAUAAAUAUUUUAUU
rnacentral:rRNA from 1 species